CUUUCUUUCAGCAAGUUUGAUAACACUCAUCAUAUUAUCUUAACCGGGAAUAUUUUUUUUUACUAUUUUUAUUUCAGUUGCAAACAUAUGUCAAUUUUCGGAGAUAGCCAAUACGUCAAAGGCCUUCGUCUACAUUUUAAAUUCUCCUGGACAGAAUAAACGAACGUGCACAUGCUCUUUAUCACCGACAUCUUCAAAUGUUAGGAUUGAACUUAGAUACCGGGAACUCACACGAUCAACUGAGAAUAUCAAUCUCAAAAUCAACGAUAUUGUAUUUGAUACAAAUCACACAGUUACAACCACAGUCUUAUCAGAAAGAAAUGAAUUGGUACUGAACACGAAUCCGGUGUUAAAUAAAAGUGAGGAAGUUUGCCUAUUAAUAACUGCAGUCGAAGAAGAUAGAAGAUUCAAUAUAUCUUGUGAGUAUCCAAAGUCAGACGCUACAGAUUCGGACACUAACAUAGUUGGAAAUUUUGAUUCAAAUACUCGCUGCGGCCAGACAGCACAAGUUGCAAACAUAUGUCAAUUUUCGGAAAUAGCCAACACGCCAAAGGCCUUCGUCUACAUUUUAAAUUCUGCUGGGCAGAAUAAACGAACGUGUACAUGCUCUUUAUCACCGACAUCUCGAAAUGUUAAGAUUCACUUUAGAUACCGGGAACUCACACGAUCUACUG